AUCAGCUACACAUCUGAAUGAAGUUGAAAUCCAAGCCGCUGCACUCACACCAGAGAAUGCAUCCCGAUCGUCUUCUCCACAGAGUCAGCCUUCAUACGGAGAUGAUCUAGUUCUCAGAGAUGUAUGGCCAGAGCCAUUUGAAGAUGUGUCACCAGAGCAAGGUGAGCGCCACCUUCAAAUCCAGCAGCUGUCUGAGAUAAAGUAUAUGUGGUUUGAGAUGAAGAGGGACAACGACGAGCUUCGCAGCCACAUUCUACCAGAGAUCAUGUCUACACUGCAAGGACUCAAGACGGAGAAUGCUUCAUUGAGAAAGGAAAUUCAGCAGUUUAGCACCAGCUUUGAGACUCCUGGUCGAUCAGCAACACCAGUACCAGCCCCUCGUACUCACCUGCCACCGUCCAUCUGUAGUCGGAGAAGUUCUGCAGUGUAUGCUGAUGAAGUUCCUCCACCCCGACCUGCCCCGUGUGAGCAGCUGACGAGACAUAUGGAAGACCUUACAGUUUCACCUAGGAUGCCUCAUCCUGAAGAGAGUCAUCACACACCGAUUCAGAGGUCAUAUACAUACUCAGCCCAGCCUGCAGGAACAGGACAGUACGACUCUGUGAUGCUUGAUCCCAGACACAGUCAUCUUCAGAGAGAGAGAGGAUUCAGUCUAUCCUCACGUCCACAGGUGACACCUAGAAAGGAGCUGCUGCACGUCCAAGAACAGAUAUAUCGAGGACCUAAGCCUACUAUCCCCAGCCUGACAGCAGUAGAUCCCCGACAGUUUUCCAGACUGCGGAUGGCACUAGAAAACCUUCUGCCAGCAGAUGCGAGUGAGCGCUUCAAGUAUCAGAUUCUGACUGAUCAUCUGGAGCUAGAAGAGGCCUUGCUAGUGGCUGACUCCUACUGUAACUCUGUGAGACCAUAUACAGACACAAUGCAAGCUCUUGUGAAGAUGUAUGGGCAGCCACACAGGCUUGUGCUGCGGAGUAUCGCUGAAGUACUGGAAGGUCCCAAUCUCAAGCCAGAAACCACACAUAUGUGUACCCACAAAGUCUUCAGUAAAUCAGACAUCAACCAACUGCAUUGUGUACUUCUCUUCAAUUAAGAAAUCAUCUCACUCAGCCCUGACAGACUGCCUACAGUGUUUCACACCCCCAUAAUUAACACAUCAACGAACCCUAC
ensembl:lncRNA